CAAGGUAGCAUCACCGACACCCCCUCCAACCCCAAUCCGACCCUACACCAACAUAGUUUACGCAUGUGUGAGAUUAAACUCCAGUCAAUGUAACCCGGACCCAGCGAUCAUCAGUGAAAGAAGUCUUUAGUAUCAUCAGUGCGGAACAGGUUAAUAAAACUGACCGGUUACGAUCACAGCAAAAUAAGUUGUUUUGUGUCAUCAGUGUGAAAUAAUUUGGUAGAAUAUCCAGUAUAGGAGCGACCAGAAUUAAUUAUAUAUCAGCUGCCUAAUUUAGACAACAUGUACAAAUUGUAUAUUUUAUGCUUGGUACCAGUAGUAAUGGGUCAACUCCGAAACAGGACAACAGUGGAAGAAUUGGCCAGUACCUGUAUAGAAGCAGACGGAUUCGAGCAUAAAUAUGAACCAACACCAGAGCCGGAUCUCUUUGAACACUGUAAACCAUGGAAAGACAGAUCGUGUUGUACCAGGAAUACUUCAGAGACCAUUCAUACGUCUGACGUCUGGUUAAGUCUGGAAUGGAAUCACUGUGGAAACAUGUCAGCUAAAUGUCUCCAGCAGUUCCAUCGGGAAAC